GGGGAUGAUAGGACUCGAUAGGAAGAACAUUUAAAAUACGGCAAGCCGAGCGCGCCAUUGCUCGUAAAUCCAUGGCAAACAUAAUAAGUGCAAACUUAUUUAGCAAGAUGAAGGCUUCUUUAGCUUUCAAUUUUGCUCCUGUCGCUGUCUAAGAACAACGACCAUCUGAUACUCUGACGCCCACUAGGAGAUAUCGGGUGCCAUAAUAGCGGGCUAGCCAGUUAAGUUUGGUCUUGGCAAGACUGGCGAAACUCUCAAGACCAAAACCGUGUCCCGUUCGCGGGACUCUAAGCUUGUAGAAGUAUUUUUCUUGACUUUCUAGACGCGGGUUCAAUUCCCGCCAUCUCCACUC
rnacentral:tmRNA from 1 species